AUUGAACGCUGGCGGCAGGCUUAACACAUGCAAGUCGAGGGGUAUAGUUCUUCGGAACUAGAGACCGGCGCACGGGUGCGUAACGCGUAUGCAAUCUACCUUUUGCAGAGGGAUAGCCCAGAGAAAUUUGGAUUAAUACCUCAUAGUAUGUGAGAAUGGCAUCAUUUUCACAUUAAAGUCACAACGGCAAAAGAUGAGCAUGCGUCCCAUUAGCUAGUUGGUAAGGUAACGGCUUACCAAGGCAACGAUGGGUAGGGGUCCUGAGAGGGAGAUCCCCCACACUGGUACUGAGACACGGACCAGACUCCUACGGGAGGCAGCAGUGAGGAAUAUUGGACAAUGGGCGCAAGCCUGAUCCAGCCAUGCCGCGUGCAGGAUGACGGUCCUAUGGAUUGUAAACUGCUUUUGUACAGGAAGAAACACUGGUUCGUGAACCAGCUUGACGGUACUGUAAGAAUAAGGAUCGGCUAACUCCGUGCCAGCAGCCGCAGUAAGAC
rnacentral:rRNA from 1 species